UGGGGAAUAUUGGACAAUGGGCGCAAGCCUGAUCCAGCAAUGCCGCGUGUGUGAAGAAGGCCUUCGGGUUGUAAAGCACUUUUAUCAGGAGCGAAACGCUGUCGGCUAAUACCCGGCGGAACUGACGGUACCUGAGGAAUAAGCACCGGCUAACUUCGUGCCAGCAGCCGCGGUAAUACGAAGGGUGCAAGCGUUAAUCGGAAUUACUGGGCGUAAAGCGUGCGUAGGCGGUUUCUUAAGUCUGCUGUGAAAUCCCCGGGCUCAACCUGGGAAUGGCAGUGGAUACUGGGAGGCUAGAGUGUGUCAGAGGGUGGUGGAAUUCCCGGUGUAGCGGUGAAAUGCGUAGAGAUCGGGAGGAACAUCAGUGGCGAAGGCGGCCACCUGGGACAACACUGACGCUGAGGCACGAAAGCGUGGGGAGCAAACAGGAUUAGAUACCCUGGUAGUCCACGCCCUAAAGCGAUGCGAACUGGAUGUUGUCUCAACUCGGAGAUCAGUGUCGAAGCUAACGCGUUAAGUUCGCC
rnacentral:rRNA from 1 species